rnacentral:rRNA from 1 species
AUGGAGUUCUCGGCGCCGGUGCCGGUGCCGUUGCCGUGCCUCGUCGUGGACCACGACGGGGCGGGAGGGGAGCCCUGCACAACCCUACUCGACAUCUCCAAAGGGAAACAGUACCAACACCACGCAUGCGACGACGCCGGGAACAGGCGGUUCCGGAGAUGGAUGACGCCGCACGGGUGGGUGCUCUCGUGGGACACCUCCACCCUCGCCACCUUCCUGUGGAGCCCUCAGACCUCGGACAAGAUCGACCUGCCGCCCCUCACGCCGGAGCAGGAGAUACCAUUGCACUCCGCCUGCUCCCUGUCCGGCAAGCCCGCCACCGCCGGCAGCUUCACGGUGGUCGCCGUCGAGCCGGAGGACACGGUGGUAUGGUACUGCCACGUCGGCGGCGACGCCGCCGGAGGACGUGGAUGGGUGAGGCACGAGUACGACAUGGGAAGCGUCACGUCCCCGGUGGUCAACGGCAGGAGCAUGCAGGCGAAGAAGUUCAUCACCCGGCUCACGGCCGUCGGAGGCAAGUUCUACUUCAAGUCGGAGGGUGAGCUCGGGAUGCUCGACUUCUCCCCUGCACCGCUCCUCGGCUCCGUGCCGGUCGCCGACAUCGAGCGCCCCCCGCGGACCACCUCCAUGGCGCUGUCGUUCGUCGAGCUCGGCGGUGAGCUCUACCUGGUCACCGCCUUCUUGCACUACGACAUCGGUGGCGCCACAAGCGUUCUCGGCUGCGGCGUGUACAAGCUGGACUUGGCAGGGAAGAGGUGGCGCAAGGUCCGCGACAUCGGCGACCGAGCCUUCCUCAUGUGCCCUCAGUAUUUCGGUGGUUGCUGCUCUGCGACCGCCUCCGGGUUGAGACCCAACUGCGUCUAUUGGAUGGGGCUGUGUGGCGACAAGCUGCUGCGAGUGAUCGACAUCGACGGGAACGAGGAAACUCAUGCAGUGCAGGAUCCGUGCAAAGAUAUCACCGGGUCAAAUCGUAACGCAAUUUGGAUGCUUCCUACCGAUCCAUAA